AGUCGAGCGAACAGACGAGGAGCUUGCUCCUCUGACGUUAGCGGCCUUUUAGGUGAGUAACACGUGGAUAACCUACCUAUAAGACUGGNAUAACUUCGGGAAACCGGAGCUAAUACCGGAUAAUAUAUUGAACCGCAUGGUUCAAUAGUGAAAGACGGUUUUGCUGUCACUUAUAGAUGGAUCCGCGCCGCAUUAGCUAGUUGGUAAGGUAACGGCUUACCAAGGCAACGAUGCGUAGCCGACCUGAGAGGGUGAUCGGCCACACUGGAACUGAGACACGGUCCAGACUCCUACGGGAGGCAGCAGUAGGGAAUCUUCCGCAAUGGGCGAAAGCCUGACGGAGCAACGCCGCGUGAGUGAUGAAGGUCUUCGGAUCGUAAAACUCUGUUAUUAGGGAAGAACAAAUGUGUAAGUAACUAUGCACGUCUUGACGGUACCUAAUCAGAAAGCCACGGCUAACUACGUGCCAGCAGCCGCGGUAAUACGUAGGUGGCAAGCGUUAUCCGGAAUUAUUGGGCGUAAAGCGCGCGUAGGCGGUUUUUUAAGUCUGAUGUGAAAGCCCACGGCUCAACCGUGGAGGGUCAUUGGAAACUGGAAAAC
rnacentral:rRNA from 1 species